rnacentral:lncRNA from 1 species
UUUGCUUGCAUCUUUGUGAGUGCAGAUGAUCUUCUUUUCUUCUCUUGGUCUCUUGGGUAGGGGUGCAUAAUCAAAAUCUCAGGGGGUGCAAAUUGCAAAAAAAAAAUGAUUAUAUGUGUAAUUUUCAGAAGUUCAGGGUGUGUAGCUGCACACCCUCACAUAGACGUAGAUCCGCCCCGGUGGUCGGAUACCAAGUUUUCAAAAAAAAAAAGUUAGGUACAAACUUAAUUUUGGUGUUCAAGCAAGGGAUUUAAAAUUCACUACAACCUUUAUAAGUGAAUUCAUAACCUAAACAAAUUCCUUUUAAAGAAAUCUCAUUACCCAACUUAAUAUUGUAUCAUUAUUAUGACAUAAAUAUAAAAUUAUAGGCUCAGAACUUAUAACGUAAAAAUUAAUUAUCAACUUAACCAGAAAAAAAUUUGAUAUGUGUGAAUGGAUACAAGAUGAUAUCUCAAAGUUAAGAU